rnacentral:rRNA from 1 species
GAUGAACGCUGGCGGCGUGCCUAAUACAUGCAAGUCGAGCGAACGGACGAGAAGCUUGCUUCUCUGAUGUUAGCGGCGGACGGGUGAGUAACACGUGGAUAACCUACCUAUAAGACUGGGAUAACUUCGGGAAACCGGAUCUAAUACCGGAUGAUAUUUUGAACCGCAUGGUUCAAAAGUGAAAGACGGUCUUGCUGUCACUUAUAGAUGGAUCCGCGCUGCAUUAGCUAGUUGGUAAGGUAACGGCUUACCAAGGCAACGAUGCAUAGCCGACCUGAGAGGGUGAUCGGCCACACUGGAACUGAGACACGGUCCAGACUCCUACGGGAGGCAGCAGUAGGGAAUCUUCCGCAAUGGGCGAAAGCCUGACGGAGCAACGCCGCGUGAGUGAUGAAGGUCUUCGGAUCGUAAAACUCUGUUAUUAGAGAAGAACAUAUGUGUAAGUAACUGUGCACAUCUUGACGGUACCUAAUCAGAAAGCCACGGCUAACUACGUG